rnacentral:rRNA from 1 species
GACGAACGCUGGCGGCGUGCUUAACACAUGCAAGUCGAACGGAAAGGCCCUGCUUUUGUGGGGUGCUCGAGUGGCGAACGGGUGAGUAACACGUGAGUAACCUGCCCUUGACUUUGGGAUAACUUCAGGAAACUGGGGCUAAUACCGGAUAGGAGCUCCUGCUGCAUGGUGGGGGUUGGAAAGUUUCGGCGGUUGGGGAUGGACUCGCGGCUUAUCAGCUUGUUGGUGGGGUAGUGGCUUACCAAGGCUUUGACGGGUAGCCGGCCUGAGAGGGUGACCGGGGACCAGGGGACUGAGGUAGGGCGCAGUCGGGAACUGUGGACAGCGGUGGGGAAUAUUGCACAGUGGGCGGGAGUGUGUGAAGAAAGCCUCCGGGGCGGAAAGACGGCUUGUCGGGAAAGAACCCCUUGGCCCUGAGACGAUGGGGGGAUGACGGUACUGGAAAAAUAAGCACCGGCUAACUACGUG